GUGGGAAGGUAACUCUGAAUGGUGAGGAGGAAAUGUGUUGAUGACUCUAGAAGAAUUGGACAAAAGAGAUAGGAAAUUAAAAAUUGAGAUCGAUGCUGGGAAAAUGAAUUGUGAUAAAUGGAGAUAUAUUAAGGAAUUAAGAAUUAAGAAGGAGUCGGUAUGCUUUGUAUUCAAGCAACCAACUUUCAUGAACUGAAUAAAGAUAGAUGUUAUGAAGUUUGGGAUGAUAAUAAUAAUAUAAUGGAUACAUAACGAGCUCAGAAGGGAUGUGGCAUACAAAUAUAUUGUAAUAUGAGAAGAAAGGGUUGAGCAUAGGAAGAAUUAGUAAAAGAGAUAUUAUAGAAAAUUUUGAAGGAAAAUGUUAUUUUAAUAACUUUUU
rnacentral:lncRNA from 1 species